AAACAUAGAUCCAAGGUUUCUAGGGUUGCAUGUACACCUUAGGAGUGUUAGAAUGCUCAAAACCCUAACUAGCAUAUUGUGAAGUAUAUGUAAUACAAAAUUUUAGUUUAAUGACAUACCUUUUCUUGUAGCUUGAUUCCUUAAGCCUUUAAGAGCCUAGCACCCCAAGUGUGAUGCCUCAAAUGAUUCACACAACACCANCUUAGUUAUAUAGCUUGUAUAUUAGUAUGGGAUACGAAUAAUUCUCUUUCACUAAAAUACUAAAGUCACUAACCUGUCAAGAACCAUCCACACUAAGAUAACUAUAAUAGGUAUAGGUAAUGUUGCUACUGCUACUACUCGCUAAAGUCACUACUCUCUACACUAUAAUACUCACUAUUACUAGACAAUACACUAGUAAGAGAAUACACUAUGAUCAAUACUAAAAGAUUUCUACACUAUAACAGAAGAGAAAACACUAAACAAACAAUAAUACACUAACCCGCUACGAGAUACUCUAUUCGCUACCCACUACGCCCGGAGUUUUCCGGCAGGAAGACGACACUACAUGUAUAGAUCUAUACAGGGCAGACGCUAUUACAUCCCGACUGAUAAUUUCAGUCCGCGCCGUGCAGGCCCAGGGAUGCCACUACUUCACUAUACUGUGCAUGACUGGAAAGGUCAUGGGAUCCGCUAUUAUCCUCACUAGUUGAAAUAUACUAGGAAUACACUAUAUCUACACUAAAAUAUUACACUAAACGCUAAACUACAUCCCGAAGUAAGUAAGUACCUAUCACUAAAGGAAGCUUUCACCACUAUCAAUGAUUACAGGCUUAACCUAUUCUAUCACAUUACUAUUUGGAGAUUUGCUAAUAUACUUUUACAAUAAAUUGUUUUCAAAAAGGAAGAAUGCAUACUUUUAACAGAUUUUCACUUACAAUGUAUUUGCUGGAAAAUUUGGAUUUUCUAGGUUUCUACUGCUUAUGAAUAUAAAUGGCGCAUUUUUCGCACUAUUGCUUGUAUACGAAAACUCCCACUAAACUCUUAUGAACUCACCAGCUUUAUGCUGAUAUUCGUUUUCAAAAUAACUUGUAUCUUCAGGUCAAAGAUAGACAGGUACAGACGCAACAUUUUUGGAGAAGGUGGAGCACACAAGACCCAUCUCUUAUUUUUGAUUUACUUUUGGGUGAUUGUUGAACCUUACAAAACACACUUGUAAUUAAAUUCACUAUGUAAAUGCAAUGGUUGUAUGUUUCCUUGUUUUUACUAUUAUGCAAUUGUGAUGAUACUGUACAUGACGUCCUCCACCCCGAAACGUAUUCCGCCGUAUUCGGUUUUGGGGUGUGACAACUAUUGACACAACUAUAUAAAGAUCCCACGGAUAACCAAAACCGUGCACUACAAGCAAGUAAUAGAGGACUAGCCGAUUUUGAGGUGUAAGAGUACUUCUCUCAAAGUUAUUCUAAGUGUUGUGGUGUUGUGUGAGACAUUUGAGGCAACACACUUGAGGUGACAGGAUCACAAGGUUUUCAAGGAAUCCAAGCAACUAAAAGGUAUGUUCUUCUACUAGCAUUUAUGUUAUAAAGUUGCCCAUGCCAUGCUAGUUAAGUUAAGAACCUUGGAAAAUUAUUUUUGCGUGUAUCUUAGUGAAACAUAGAUCCAAGGUUUCUAGGGUUGCAUGUAAACCUUAGGAGUGUUAGAAUGAUCUAAACCCGUCAGUGGUAUCAGAGCCUAGGCUUGCUUAUUUGAUACUUGAUGCAAACUUGUUAAGAAAAUCAACAAAAUUGCAUUAUGUCUGGGUGAAUUUGCCGAGUCCAUGGGGGGACUCGACGCGUCCAUGCCUAUAUUCAUCAAACUCGGCGAGUUAGUUCUUGCACUCGACGAGUUGGCUUGUCACAGUGCAGGUUUCCGACUUUUGCUACUGGAAUUGGGCUAAACCCAUAAGGUGCUUCAUGGAUAGUCCAUGGGAGUUAUAAACCCAUGGAUCAUGGAAUAUGAAAAGCGAUGACAAUUAGGGUUUACAUGAUGUAACCCUACUUGUGACAAACCUAUAUAAAGACCCCAUGGAUGACCAAAAAUCGUGCACUACAAGCAAGUAAUAGAGGGCUAGCCGAUUUUAAGGUGUAAGAGUAAUUCUCUCAAAGUUAUUCUAAGUGUUGUGGUGUUGUGUGAGACAUUUGUGGCAUCACACUUGAGGUGCUAAGCUCACAAGGUUUUCAAGGAAUCCAAGCAACUAAAAGGUAUGUUCUUCUACUAGCAUUUAUGUUUUAAAGUUCCCCAUGCCAUGCUAGUUAAGUUAAUAACCUUGGAAAAUCAUUUUUACAUGUAUCUUAGUAAAACAUAGAUCCAAGGUUUCUAGGGUUGCAUGUACACCUUAGGAGUGUUAGAAUGCUCAAAACCCUAACUAGCAUAUUGUGAAGUAUAUGUAAUACAAAAUUUUAGUUUAAUGACAUACCUUUUCUUGUAGCUUGAUUCCUUAAGCCUUUAAGAGCCUAGCACCCCAAGUGUGAUGCCUCAAAUGAUUCACACAACACCACAACAAUUGGAAAAACUUG
rnacentral:lncRNA from 1 species